CACCGCGGUUAUACGAGAGACCCAAAUUGACAGUACCCGGCAUAAAGUGUGGUUAAGAGACAGACACAAUAAGGCCGAACUCUUUCAAGGCUGUUAUACGCAACCGAAAGAAAGAAGACCAACAACGAAAGUGACCUUAACUCAAUCUGAACCCACGAAAGCUAGGAAA
rnacentral:rRNA from 2 species